AAUGAACGUUGGCGGCGUGGAUUAGGCAUGCAAGUCGAGGGAGAACCCGCAAGGGGGACACCGGCGAACGGGGUAGGAUCACCUCGGUGACGUACCCUCCGGACGGGGAUAGCGUCGGGAAACUGACGGUAAUACCCGAUGAUCCGGCUGGUUUUUAAGACUGGUCAGCAAAGGUGAGAUUCCACCGGAGGAGCGGCUGAGGCGCUAUUAGCUAGUUGGUGAGGUAACGGCUCACCAAGGCGACGAUGGCUAGGGGGUGUGAGAGCAUGGCCCCCACCACUGGCACUGAGACACUGGCCAGACACCUACGGGUGGCUGCAGUCGAGAAUCUUCGGCAAUGGGCGCAAGCCUGACCGAGCGACGCCGCGUGCGGGAUGAAGGUCUUCGGAUUGUAAACCGCUGUCGGAGGGGAUGAAGUGUAGGAGAGCAAUCUCUCUUAUUUGACAGAGCCUCGGAGGAAGCACGGGCUAAGUUCGUGCCAGCAGCCGCCGUAAAAC
rnacentral:rRNA from 1 species